UGUGACCUACAUUUUACGGCCCUGACGUUGGAGUGACUUUUGUUUUUUGUUUUUUUGCUUCGUUUUUUGUACAAAAAAGUUUGACUGGUGCUGAUUUACACACACACACACACACACACACGCUGUGACCGUGCAGUGAACUGUCAGAGUAAUGGAUGGAGCAGAAAUGUGUUCCAGAGCAGUGGAGGUGCCCGGACAGGCCUGUCUCCUCCUUCACCUCCUUCUCCUGGAGGAGUCAACAGCGCAGGUAUUUGUGCUCCUUCGUUGGAACUAAUUUUAAUAAUAAUAAUAAUAAUGUCAGUACUAACAACAGUUCCAGUUCCUGUCCCUGUUUCUCCGCAGCACCUCCUCAGUCCUGUCCAAUCACAGCCGAGCUGCAGCCAAAUACUGACCGAGAAGCUCACGUGACUUUGAGGCCUGUGUCUUUAAAUGUUCUUCUUCGUUUGUUGACUUUUUGUUGACCAGUGUGUGUUUUUGCUGUGACGUCAUGUGUUUGUAGUGAUUUCUUUCAGGCUCGUUCACAGGUAUCGUUUCCUGAAACUUCGUGUUUCUGAGACUCGACUCACUGUUCGGGUGAAGACGUUCAUCUCCGGCUCUGUUUACGACUCGUCUCUCCUGAGGUAAAACCUCCUCGGUGAUGAGUUCACUGACCCUGCGUCCAGUCCACAGAUGGUCAGCGGGGAUUUCAUGUCAGAGAAUGUCGUCGUUGCUGCAGAAAAUUAGUGAAAUAAAACUUUUACCUGGAACGGAGGUGAGCGCUCAUCGUCAAGACCUUUGAUUGGACGUCCAUCUGGACCGCAGGCAGGAGAGGAAGAGGAGGAAGAGGAGGAGAGUGGAAGGCCGUGAACCUCGGAGUCCCUGCAGGCGAGACUUUGCAGACGUUAACGCUCUGCUCUGCACAAUUUAUGGAGCAUAGACAGUUUAUAAGGAGCAGCAGAGUCUAUCAGAGAAGCAGGAGGAGGAAGAGGAGGAAGAGGAGGAGGAGGAAGGCGUUCAUGCAGGAUGGAGCAGGGAGAACCACUGCUCUGACCAAAUAUGUCUUGUGUGAAAUGUUGUGACUCUUCAUCACUCAGUUUGAGUCGGGAUAUGACAUCACUGAUGACAUCAGUGAUGACAUCAGUGAUGACAUCAGUGACGACAUCAGUGAUGACAUCAGACGAUACCAGUUAGUAUCAUUUUUGGCUAAAGUUUUCCACUAACUCCUCCUUUCAUUUCAGCUGAAGGAGCCGAGGAGUCGACGGUGAAUUUCAUGUUUCAUGUCCCGUUCACCUGGACGUCAUUUUAACUUUGGUAAGAUACAGAUUUCAUGGCUAUAAUUUUCACCUCUUUUUUUCUCAUUUUUGUUGUUUUACGUUUUUGUCAUUGCGGUUGUUAAAGAUCGGACGUCGUUAUUUCACUCUCCCCAAAAUCACGAUUGGUUUUGACCGAAAAUAUGACGACAAGGUGUUUGCUGCAAAACAGUCGCAACAAAAAGUGUCAGAAGUUUGGAACUGGGCGGAAGAUGAAAGUGACCCCCCCCAUCCCCCCCACCUCACCACCCUCACCCUCACAGGCCUGACAUCUGUCAGUAGUCGCCGGGCGACUUGUUAUGCUAAUGAAAGAUUGAUUCUCAGGAGACGCCAACAGUUUAAACCGCUGGUCAGUCUGACGUCCACGUAGACGUCAUCGGUCUCUGUGGACGGCCAGGUUCUUAGACCCGUUCUCCAAAAUGUCAUUUAAAUAAUGGAGCGCUGAUGUCAGUGAGAGAGAGAGAGAGAGAGAGAGAGAGAGAGAGAGUGAGAGAGUGAACAUGAGGCUGUUUCAACAACAGCUGAGUUUAUGUUGUUAAAUGUAGCGUGAAAGACACAGAGGUUUCACACCAGUGUGACCAGCCUCUGGGGCAGGGACCGUUUAUGUCCAGUUGGGAAUUCCUCCGCGGGCCUGUUAUCACACACACAUCUAUCUGAUGAUCAAUUAUCAAGUCAUUAAAAGUCGUUAUGGAGACAGUACUGACUAAACACAGGCUUGUCACCGCUGACUGUUUCUGAUACAGCCGUGUACUCGUUGUUGUGACUUUCACGUGAACAAGACAAAGAUGUAAAAUGGACGACUGUUCUGAUUGCGUUUCAAACUGAGAGAGAGAAAAAAACAAUGUUAUAUUUAGAUUUACAAUAUUGUAAAAAACAUAACUGAGCGAGAAGAGAAAACACUUGGAGGCCAUUUUAUCAAACUCUAAAACAUAAACAGAUGCCGUUUGUUUUAACAGCCUCCGUUGACAUCAGCCAGCUCUUCUCUUGUCUGGGUCUGUGACCCUGAGAGAACAGGACCACCGUUGACCUUGGCUUUGCUCUGUUAUGGCUUGGCGCCUGUUAACGGUGGCCGUGAGUUGUAGCCUGGUGUUAAACUGUGAUCCAGCCACAGUCAAUGUUUAUGUCCACCUAUCAAAUGCAAUGUGUUUAUGUUAUAUGGCAUUAUGGACAAACAGGCACUCUGAAAGGAUGAAGUGUGAGUGUGGUCCAAGACCAGAGCAGAGGGGGUUUAUGGUCCGUUAGAGAGGGCAGAAAUCUCAAGUGCCAAUCCGAGAGACAAAUGGCUGAUAUAGUUUUCUGUUUGAUUUCAACAUCUGACCAAAAAAGUGGGAUUUUAAUCAAAAUAAAUUAAAAAUGUGUGUUUAAAACUCCAAAAAUAUUU